UCUAUGAAGAGUUUGAACAUCUAGCCACUCAGCCCAUUUGUAAAAGAAACAUUUUAUUUUAUUUAUUUUUCUUUCUUUCUUUCUUUCUCUUUUGCUCAGCCUGCUACCUUGUCCAUGCUCGGUGCAAGCCUGCUCAUUCCCAGCACCCCGUCCACCUGGAUUCAGCUAUCAGAUCUGUUCCCUGACUAGCACCAACCCUUACACCACCUGUUGUGCAAUAAACUUCCACGGCGGUUGCGGAAUGGCCAAACCGUCAUCUAGAAGAGCGCUGCAACGUUUCCUCUGAGGUGGGAGUUGGCGCAGUGCUGUCCCAGCAGUACCCGGGGGAUGGUAAGGUCCACCCUUGUUAGGCAGAAAGAAAUUACAGGAUUGGCGACAGAGGACUCCUGGCGGUGAAGAUGACUUUGGAGGAAUGGCGGCAGUUUCUGGAAGUAGCUGAACACCCAUUCGUUGUGUGGACUGAUCAUAAAAACCUGCAAUACAUAUGCUCCGCCAAGAGACUGAGCUCCCGUCAAGCAAGGUGGGCCUUGUUUUUCGAUCACUUCACCUACUGUCCAGUAUCCCAAAACGUCAAGCCUGAUGCCCUGUUCUGUCAGUUCACUGCAGGGGGCACCAAACCAUCUUGCCUCCUACUUGCUUUGUAGCAUCUGUAACCUUUUAGAUUGAGGCACUGUUGAGCGGGACCCAGGUUGGACAAUCUGUUCCUGGUGGGACCCCACGGAAUUGUUUUUGUCCCCGACUCUAUCCGCUCUCAGGUUUUUCAGUGGGCCCAGUCCUCACGGCUCACCUGACAUCCCAGAAUUCCUUCGUCAAAAUUUCUGGUGCCCCACUAUGGAGAAAGACACCUGAUCAUUUGUCUCAGCCUGCAUGGUAUGUGCUCAAAAUCAGCCAUCUGCUAAACCCAGCUCUGAUCUGCUUCAUCCACUUCCCAUCCUCUGGCGUCCAUGCUUAUCAAAAGCAGCCCUUCCCAGGCUCCCGUCUGCCAAAGAAACCGCGGAUCUAUUGGUCUAGCAUGCCAUACCUUCCGACAGCAGCCCCGAGUUCACCUCACCUGUUUGGAAGGCAUUAGGCAUUGGCCUGAGCUCUCAUCUGGAUACCAUCCUCAGACCAAUGGUCAAUAUGAAGACAAGCUCACGCCCCUCUGGUCCGGUCCUCUGCAAGAUCUCUGGUACAAGCAAACUGUCAACGCAUCCCUGCACCUACUUACUCUGUUGGUCCAAAGGUGUGGCUCGGCACAAAGAAUCUACCACUCAAGUCUCCCACAGCAAUUAGCACAUCCAAUGUAACAGGAUUCCACUACAGCUUGAAGCAAACGUGGGACUGGAUAGUAGCAAACAGCGACAUGGGAUAAACAACUCAAAUCGCUGAUGUUCAGUAACACUUUCAAAAAUAAUUAUUGCCUUAUUUUGUUAACACUACAGUGAACCUCUGCUGUUUCACAGUUUAUCAUUCGUAGCCCUGCUAUUUUGAAGAUUUCUAAGCAAUUGUUUUUAGACUAAGGCAAGUCAGAAUUUAGUUGCACGCCUCCAGCUGUGCUGCAAUAUGCUGAGGUCUAUUAGAAGAGAUUCAGUGAAAAUAACAGCAAGAAGCAGAUGCCCCUUCAAUGUAGUACAAUACCAUAUUUUUCCAUUUUAAUAUUUGUUGUUCCCACAGAGCAGAGACUAUAUGCCUGCGAGUAUUGUUUUAUGCUCUUGUUUGUAUGUUGCUGCUCUGUGUGUUAAAGUUGCAAUUGUUUGAAAGUUUAACAUCUAUGCUAAUUUAUAGUGGCCAACAUGUGAACACGCAUGCCCCACAGUUCAGAGGUCGUGGGUUCAAAUCUGGGGUGCAGUCUUCCCGGGUGGAGUUUGCAUGUUCUUCCUGUGCCUGCGUGAGUUUUUUUCCGGGUACUUCGGUUUCCACCCACAUUGGAUAGUAGGUUAAUUGAAGACUCCAAGUUGUUCGUAGGUGUGAGUGUGAAUUUAUUUGUAUGACUUGUUCAAGGUCCAAAGUCAGCUAGGAUAGGCUCCUGUACACCUGUGACCCUAGAUAAGUGCUACAAUGGAUGGAUCUCUGCUAUCCAUUUCCCUCUGAUUUUUUUUUUUUAAAUCUUUAUUAAACCUGUCCUUUUCGGCUGCUUGGUCAUUCAGUAUGGAGGAUGUAUGCCUUUGCCAGAAGCUGUGCAACAGGGGAGUUUUAUAUACUGCCUCUGUGGUUAUUUGCAUUAUGAUGGGUAUUUAUUGAAAAUUCUAGUAGGACAGAACGAUGU